AUUAGGGAAGUAUAUAGAGUUGAAGAAAAGGCAAGUAGAUGAUGAAGCUACAUAUUUGGCCAAUGAAAAGGCAGAUGCAACAAAAUUACAUGAAUUCUCUAUCACCAAGUGCAUGGAUGUGUUGAAAAAAAUGGAGGAUGUGACCCGCAUCGAGAAGAUCAAAGCAUUCAACGUCUUCAAGGAUGCUGCAAACCGUGAGAUUUUCAUCAAUGCCGCUGAUGAUGAUAAAGAUACUGCUGUUAUGUGGCUUCGGAGCCAAAUGUCCCCAUGAGCCUGCAGCUAUGAGAUCGUUGCACUGGCAACAAGCACCCAAUGAAGAAAAGCGCAGUCGGUGUUAGCCCCUUAGAUCUGCCAGAAAGUGGUUCAUCUCAUAAACUGGCAUUUUACCAGCACUCGUUUUGAGCCUCCUGCUGAUCUUAUGUCAUGUAAAAUAAAGCAAACUAGGUUGACCUUAUUUGGAAGUCGCUUUCUAUUUUCAAUGCCUACUUGUUGCACAAAUGGAAUGUUUCAUUUCUCCGAGGAGUCAGUUUGCUAUUGAUGAUGACAUGAUUUUCAAUAAAUUGUCGACCUCAGAUCUUUGAUGAUGCCCCUUGAUGUCUGCUAUUUUAUGUCAUUUGGUGUCUGUUCCAAACCAUAUCAGCAGUUAUUUUAUGCCCCUUGAUGUCUGCUAAGUUAUGUCA